rnacentral:rRNA from 1 species
UACGUAGGGGGCUAGCGUUGUCCGGAAUCAUUGGGCGUAAAGCGCGUGUAGGCGGUUCGGUAAGUCCGCUGUGAAAGUCGGGGGCUCAACCCUCGGAUGCCGGUGGAUACUGCCGGGCUAGAGUCCGGAAGAGGCGAGUGGAACUCCUGGUGUAGCGGUGAAAUGCGCAGAUAUCGGGAGGAACACCAAUGGCGAAGGCAGCUCGCUGGGACGUUACUGACGCUGAGACGCGAAAGCGUGGGGAGCAAACAGG